GGAGGGAUCAUUAACACGUUUCCAAAAAAAACGUUUAUCAACCAAAUCAACGUGAACCUAAAUCCAACUCCCUUGUCAGUGCGACGAACGAAUAAUCAUCAGGGUGGAGAUCGACGAAAGUCGAACUAUGACUCGUUCUAGGGGCCCUUGAGGCUCCAAUCCGCUGAUAAGUGUCUUUGCGACCACCUGGCAGUCUACAUUCGUGUAGCGUUCUGCCGAAUUCUUUAACACAAUUUUUUAACCCCUUUCACAACAUACUAAUAACUGAACCAUUUUUUUUCAAACAUGUCCUAGUGAUAUGGUUGAUAAAAAGAUAUACGUAAUGCUGAACAACUCUUAGCAAUGGAUAUCUUGGUUCUCGUAACGAUGAAGAACGCAGCGAAAUGCGAUACGUAAUGCGAAUUGCAGAAUUCAGUGAAUCAUCAAAUCUUUGAACGCAAAUGGCGCUCUCGGGAUAUGCCCGGGAGCAUGCCUCUCUGAGUAUCGGUUCUAUCUAUCACAGUCAGCGUGCUUAAUUGUCAUGUUUAGACAGUGGAAAAUGAGUGUCUGACAGCGCAAGCAGGUCAGUCACUUGAAACAGAUAGAAGCUUGGAUCGCACUAGAAGGUGCCAUCUUUCGAGAUGGAUAGCGAGCUCCUAUAUGGGCUCUACCUUUAAUAGUGACGUGGAUAGAAGUACCACUUGUUGGUCUUUCAAAACGUCUGCUAUUGAUAGUAGUAGCUUGGGUUGAUCGUGAACGACUAGAAGUGAUACAUGUCUUGUCAAUCGAAUUCAGUCUAUGUUGAGCUUUCGGGUUCAACCUACACUAUCUUUGAAUUAGAUCUCAGAUGAAGCAAGAGGACCCCCUGAAUUUAAGCAUAUUAUUAAGGGGAGGAAAAGAAACUAACAAGGAUUCCCCUAGUAACGGCGAGUGAAGCGGGAUGUAGCUCAAUCUGGGAAUCGAGAGUGGAAGCCCACGCCUCGAAUUGUAUCCUAGAGACGUAUUGUCAGCGUGUGACCUCGGUGCAAGUCUUUUGAAACAGGGCAUCAUAGAGGGUGAGAAUCCCGUCUCUGACCGAGAGUUCGCCGCGUACGACGUAUGUUCGACGAGUCGAGUUGUUUGGGAUUGCAGCUCUAAAUGGGUGGUAAAUUUCAUCUAAAGCUAAAUAUCGACGAGAGACCGAUAGCGAACAAGUACCGUGAGGGAAAGAUGAAAAGAACUCUGAAAAGAGAGUUAAAAAGUACUUGAAAUUGUUAAGAGGGAAGCGCUAGCAAGCAGUCAAGACAGAUAGCUAUACUUACUGUUGGACAUCGAAAUCAACUGCAGACCAGAUCGUAAGACUGUGUCGGGAAGAGGACGAAUGGCUGGCGGGUCAUGUAGUUGUUUGUGGGUCAGAGUCAAUUCGAUUCGUGACUGAAGGCUAGCAGAAAGGUAGGGUCUCCGGACCUGUUAUAGUCUGUUAGUUGAAUCAUGGAUUGGAUUGAGGAUUGAUAAUGAACGCCGUAAGGUUUCGGCGCGGCUCUUCUGUUAGGUUAAUUGGUGCUGAGGACAAUGUCCUGAGUGUUGAUCUAAUUUGACUCUAGGGGUCGCUGCCAGAUGUUCAUUCGCGAUUCUGACGAAAUGCUUGCUAUCGACCCGUCUUGAAACACGGACCAAGGAGUCUAACAUAUAUGCGAGUAUUUGGGUGCCAAACUCGGAUGCGUAAUGAAAGUAAAGGCAGUUUCGGCUGCUGAGGUAGGAAGGUGUAAAAACCGGCACUAUCGACCGAUCGUCACUUGUGAUUGAUUUGAGUGCGAGCAUAUCUGUUGGGACCCGAAAGAUGGUGAUCUAUGCCUGAACAGGGUGAAGCCAGGGGAAACUCUGGUGGAGGCUCGUAGCGAUACUGACGUGCAAAUCGUUCGUCUGAUUUGGGUAUAGGGGCGAAAGACUAAUCGAACCAUCUAGUAGCUGGUUCCCUC
rnacentral:misc_RNA from 1 species